rnacentral:rRNA from 1 species
CGGUAACUGGUGUAGCAAUACAACAGCUAGAGUGUCGUACGGGUGCGUAACACGUAUGCAACCUACCUUGUACAGGAGUAUAGCUCGGGGAAACUCGAAUUAGCCCUCCAUAAUGUAGUGGUGAGGCAUCUCACUACUACUAAAACUGAGGUGGUACAAGAUGGGCAUGCGAUUGAUUAGUUAGUUGGCAGUGUAAUGGACUACCAAGACGAUGAUCAAUAGGGGACCUGAGAGGGUGAUCCCCCACACUGGCACUGAGAUACGGGCCAGACUCCUACGGGAGGCAGCAGUAGGGAAUAUUGGACAAUGGGUGAGAGCCUGAUCCAGCCAUGCCGCGUGCAGGAAGAAGGCGUUAUGCGUUGUAAACUGCUUUUGCCAGGGGAUAAAAUGACCGUGCGCGGUUAAUUGAAGGUACCUGGUGAAUAAGCCACGGCUAACUACGUGCCAGCAGCCGCGGUAAUACGUAGGUGGCAAGCGUUGUC